AAGACCUUGCACUUUUGGAGCGGCCGAUGUCUGAUUAGCUAGUUGGUGGGGUAAUGGCCUACCAAAGCUUCGAUCAGUAGCUGGUCUGAGAGGACGGCCAGCCACACUGGGACUGAGACACGGCCCAGACUCCUACGGGAGGCAGCAGUGGGGAAUUUUGGACAAUGGGCGCAAGCCUGAUCCAGCCAUGCCGCGUGAGUGAAGAAGGCCUUCGGGUUGUAAAGCUCUUUCGCAAGGGAAGAAACGAUACAGUUUAAUAAGCUGUGUUAAUGACGGUACCUUGAUAAGAAGCACCGGCUAACUACGUGCCAGCAGCCGCGGUAAUACGUAGGGUGCGAGCGUUAAUCGGAAUUACUGGGCGUAAAGCGUGCGCAGGCUGUUUUGUAAGUCAGAUGUGAAAUCCCCGAGCUCAACUUGGGAACU
rnacentral:rRNA from 1 species